GGAAUAUUGGACAAUGGGCGAAAGCCUGAUCCAGCAAUGCCGCGUGAGUGAUGAAGGCCUUCGGGUUGUAAAGCUCUGUCGGGAGGGACGAACGAAUCCGUGUAACGACGGAUUGUGACGGUACCUCCAAAGGAAGCACCGGCUAACUCUGUGCCAGCAGCCGCGGUAAUACAGAGGGUGCAAGCGUUGUUCGGAAUUACUGGGCGUAAAGCGCGUGUAGGCUGCGAUGUAAGUCGGAUGUGAAAUCCCUCAGCUCAACUGAGGAAGUGCAUCCGAUACUGUGUCGCUUGAGUGUCAGAGGGGAUGGCGGAAUUCCCGGUGUAGAGGUGAAAUUCGUAGAUAUCGGGAGGAACACCUGUGGCGAAGGCGGCCAUCUGGAUGACGACUGACGCUGAGACGCGAAAGCGUGGGUAGCAAACAGGAUUAGAUACCCUGGUAGUCCACGCUGUAAACGAUGAGUGCUAGACGUCGCGGGUAUUGACCCCUGCGGUGUCGAAGUUAACACGUUAAGCACUCCGCCUGGGGAGUACGGUCGCAAGAUUAAAACUCAAAGGAAUUGACGG
rnacentral:rRNA from 1 species